GAGGGGCAAACCUAGAAGUUGAAUUAAACUGGUUGCAUACUAGGCAACCCUGAGACUCCCUUGGUGGAGGUCUUGCAAUUCCUCCUCUUUCUUUUCAUAGAUAUAGGCAGGGAAGAAGUUAUCAAAGAAUGCAUCCAUGAAAACUUCCCAGGUGGUAAGGGUAGAUAAGACUUCCUUUUUAAGUCACCACUAAUGUUCUACUUUUCCAUUUAGCAUGAAGGCUGCAAGGAGAAAUUUUUGUUCCUUGGUUAGGUCUAAGACAGUGAAUAGCUUGUCUAUCUAUAACAUCCAGGCUUAAGCUACUAAGGGAUCAGAGCCACCUUCAAA
rnacentral:lncRNA from 1 species